GUUCCAAAUGUUUGUUGUGUUUGAGUUUUGAUGUUGUCAUUGGAUAAGGGACUUUAAGAUGUGAAAUUUCUUGCAGAUCUUAUUUUUUUUUUAUUAUUAUUUUUUUUUUUUACUUUGUGCAAUAACUUUUCCUACACAACUUUCUUAUGUAAGGCCAUUAUGAUUGUUCUUUUGUUCGUUUUUAUUUAUUAUAAGGUUUUCUUUGGGAAGAAGGUUCUUGCUUCUUCUGUUGUUUAAUGUAAUCGUUUUAUCUAUUGGUUUUAUUAAUACAACAUCGUGUGUAACAUUCAUUUUGAUUGGAUUGUCAUGACAUCAAUACACAAUUGAAAGUACCUGUCCUCAUUCUCAG
rnacentral:lncRNA from 1 species